CAUAGGUUAAUGAGGCGAACCGGGGGAACUGAAACAUCUAAGUACCCCGAGGAAAAGAAAUCAACCGAGAUUCCCCCAGUAGCGGCGAGCGAACGGGGAGCAGCCCAGAGCCUGAAUCAGUGUGUGUGUUAGUGGAAGCGUCUGGAAAGGCGCGCGAUACAGGGUGACAGCCCCGUACACAAAAAUGCACAUGCUGUGAGCUCGAUGAGUAGGGCGGGACACGUGGUAUCCUGUCUGAAUAUGGGGGGACCAUCCUCCAAGGCUAAAUACUCCUGACUGACCGAUAGUGAACCAGUACCGUGAGGGAAAGGCGAAAAGAACCCCGGCGAGGGGAGUGAAAAAGAACCUGAAACCGUGUACGUACAAGCAGUGGGAGCACGCUUAGGCGUGUGACUGCGUACCUUUUGUAUAAUGGGUCAGCGACUUAUAUUCUGUAGCAAGGUUAACCGAAUAGGGGAGCCGAAGGGAAACCGAGUCUUAACUGGGCGUUAAGUUGCAGGGUAUAGACCCGAAACCCGGUGAUCUAGCCAUGGGCAGGUUGAAGGUUGGGUAACACUAACUGGAGGACCGAACCGACUAAUGUUGAAAAAUUAGCGGAUGACUUGUGGCUGGGGGUGAAAGGCCAAUCAAACCGGGAGAUAGCUGGUUCUCCCCGAAAGCUAUUUAGGUAGCGCCUCGUGAAUUCAUCUCCGGGGGUAGAGCACUGUUUCGGCAAGGGGGUCAUCCCGACUUACCAACCCGAUGCAAACUGCGAAUACCGGAGAAUGUUAUCACGGGAGACACACGGCGGGUGCUAACGUCCGUCGUGAAGAGGGAAACAACCCAGACCGCCAGCUAAGGUCCCAAAGUCAUGGUUAAGUGGGAAACGAUGUGGGAAGGCCCAGACAGCCAGGAUGUUGGCUUAGAAGCAGCCAUCAUUUAAAGAAAGCGUAAUAGCUCACUGGUCGAGUCGGCCUGCGCGGAAGAUGUAACGGGGCUAAACCAUGCACCGAAGCUGCGGCAGCGACGCUUAUGCGUUGUUGGGUAGGGGAGCGUUCUGUAAGCCUGUGAAGGUGUACUGUGAGGUAUGCUGGAGGUAUCAGAAGUGCGAAUGCUGACAUAAGUAACGAUAAAGCGGGUGAAAAGCCCGCUCGCCGGAAGACCAAGGGUUCCUGUCCAACGUUAAUCGGGGCAGGGUGAGUCGACCCCUAAGGCGAGGCCGAAAGGCGUAGUCGAUGGGAAACAGGUUAAUAUUCCUGUACUUGGUGUUACUGCGAAGGGGGGACGGAGAAGGCUAUGUUGGCCGGGCGACGGUUGUCCCGGUUUAAGCGUGUAGGCUGGUUUUCCAGGCAAAUCCGGAAAAUCAAGGCUGAGGCGUGAUGACGAGGCACUACGGUGCUGAAGCAACAAAUGCCCUGCUUCCAGGAAAAGCCUCUAAGCAUCAGGUAACAUCAAAUCGUACCCCAAACCGACACAGGUGGUCAGGUAGAGAAUACCAAGGCGCUUGAGAGAACUCGGGUGAAGGAACUAGGCAAAAUGGUGCCGUAACUUCGGGAGAAGGCACGCUGAUAUGUAGGUGAAGCGACUUGCUCGUGGAGCUGAAAUCAGUCGAAGAUACCAGCUGGCUGCAACUGUUUAUUAAAAACACAGCACUGUGCAAACACGAAAGUGGACGUAUACGGUGUGACGCCUGCCCGGUGCCGGAAGGUUAAUUGAUGGGGUCAGCGCAAGCGAAGCUCUUGAUCGAAGCCCCGGUAAACGGCGGCCGUAACUAUAACGGUCCUAAGGUAGCGAAAUUCCUUGUCGGGUAAGUUCCGACCUGCACGAAUGGCGUAAUGAUGGCCAGGCUGUCUCCACCCGAGACUCAGUGAAAUUGAACUCGCUGUGAAGAUGCAGUGUACCCGCGGCAAGACGGAAAGACCCCGUGAACCUUUACUAUAGCUUGACACUGAACAUUGAGCCUUGAUGUGUAGGAUAGGUGGGAGGCUUUGAAGUGUGGACGCCAGUCUGCAUGGAGCCGACCUUGAAAUACCACCCUUUAAUGUUUGAUGUUCUAACGUUGACCCGUAAUCCGGGUUGCGGACAGUGUCUGGUGGGUAGUUUGACUGGGGCGGUCUCCUCCUAAAGAGUAACGGAGGAGCACGAAGGUUGGCUAAUCCUGGUCGGACAUCAGGAGGUUAGUGCAAUGGCAUAAGCCAGCUUGACUGCGAGCGUGACGGCGCGAGCAGGUGCGAAAGCAGGUCAUAGUGAUCCGGUGGUUCUGAAUGGAAGGGCCAUCGCUCAACGGAUAAAAGGUACUCCGGGGAUAACAGGCUGAUACCGCCCAAGAGUUCAUAUCGACGGCGGUGUUUGGCACCUCGAUGUCGGCUCAUCACAUCCUGGGGCUGAAGUAGGUCCCAAGGGUAUGGCUGUUCGCCAUUUAAAGUGGUACGCGAGCUGGGUUUAGAACGUCGUGAGACAGUUCGGUCCCUA
rnacentral:rRNA from 1 species